UACGUAGGUGGCAAGCGUUGUCCGGAAUUACUGGGUGUAAAGGGAGCGCAGGCGGGAAGCCAAGUCAGCUGUGAAAACUACGGGCUUAACUUGUAGACUGCAGUUGUAACUGGUUUUCUUGAGUGAAGUAGAGGUUGGCGGAAUUCCGAGUGUAGCGGUGAAAUGCGUAGAUAUUCGGAGGAACACCGGUGGCGAAGGCGGCCAACUGGGCUUUAACUGACGCUGAGGCUCGAAAGUGUGGGGAGCAAACAGG
rnacentral:rRNA from 1 species